rnacentral:rRNA from 1 species
GACGAACGCUGGCGGCGUGCCUAACACAUGCAAGUCGAGCGAGUGAAUCUCCUUCGGGAGUGAAACUAGCGGCGGACGGGUGAGUAACACGUGGGCAACCUGCCUCAUAGAGGGGAAUAGCCUUUCGAAAGGAAGAGUAAUACCGCAUAAGAUUGUAGCUUCGCAUGAAGUAGCAAUUAAAGGAGUAAUCCGCUAUGAGAUGGGCCCGCGGCGCAUUAGUUAGUUGGUGAGGUAACGGGGCACCAAUGCGACGAUGCGUAGCCGACCUGGGAGGGUGAUCCGCCACAUUGGGGCUGAGACACGGCCCAGACUCCUACGGGAGGCAGCAGUGGGGAAUAUUGCAAAAUGGGGGAAACCCUGAUGCAGCAACGCCGCGUGAGUGAUGACGGCCUUCGGGUUGUAAAACUCUGUCUUCAGGGACGAUAAUGACGGUACCUGAGGAGGAAGCCACGGCUAACUACGUGCCAGCCGCCGCAGUAA